UUGACUAUGGAGAUCACACUGGCUGAAGUGGAUGUGGUUGAGGUGGCGGCCCCCGUGGCUGAGGCCGUGAAGACAGACCACCACUGCUGCCGGUUUAGCUGGAGGCUAACUAUUCAGCGCAUCUUGAACGUGUACCUCUGUAUAUGCUGCGUAUGGACAGUCCGUGAAUAUAAGAACAAUGAAUAAAGGACAAGGUUCCCCCUCCCGCAUGGAGAUUAAAUCUAGACCAACUGAGCUGAUCCUAGAGCCAUCAGCGGCAGAGGUCCUGAGGGCAAACCGCCGAAGGACACCAUCUGUGAGACUACUGGUCCAAAGAGUUAUCAAUAUCUAUCUCUGUCUAUGUUGUAUCUGUACACUACACCAUCAUAAGGACGACUAAAAAAACUGGCCAAAAAUAUCUUUGAUUUAAAACAUGACACCAAAAGGGUUGACAGAGAAGUGAGGAAGAAGAGGGCCAGUGGCACACUUCUUGGCAACCUUGGCUACAGACACCUCCACCAUGUUGCAGACUGAUAUGAGAUUGUCAUAGACUGUACUUAUGCCGCCCUUUGCCCCCAUAUAAAUGGAAUGAAA